rnacentral:lncRNA from 1 species
ACCGACAUCCUGGCUGCCCCGGCAGCCGUGGUCGCUGUUGGUGUGUCCGUUCAGCACGGGCACCAUGACGGGUCAUCACACAAGGUUGUCGCCGGAUCCGGCGACACCAAGCCUGACUACCACCGGAUCUGGUGAGUAAUGAAUCCCAUCUCCCCUAACCUCUCUCCAUAUGUAUUUCACGAUUUCUGAUUUAUUUAGCAUGAUUUGAACACUCUAUGUUUCUUUACCACCAGAUCGUCGGCCUCCUCUGCUACUUCAAUUUCAGGAUUUUUGAAUGUUUGUGACAGAUUGCAUGUGUUGUAGUUUUUUGAAAGAGACCAAAAUCUAUGAAAUUACUUCCCUGUAAUAUAUUUGAAUGCGGUGUUGCUAGUUGUGAAACAAAGUAAUGUGAAAUGGUUUGUGGCACAAUGUGAAAUUUAUAUUUCAAUCUGGUGAAACUGGAUUACUUCAAUAUGUCGAAGUGAGAAUUGAAUGAUUUUCAGUGAGAUUUGAAUUGAAAUAGCUAUGUGUAGUUGAGAUGUGCAAAAAAUGUGAAAUUGGGAUUUCAAUGUGUUGUUGCAAGUUGCAAAACUAAUUUCUUUGAAAAUAUAUGGAAUUAGAUCUAUGAAAUAUAUGAAACAACUAUUUCUCUUAUCUGUCAUUUGUUAUUUCAGUGAUAUAUGUAUUGAGAAAUUACUCCCCUGGAAUAUAUUUCAAUGCGGUGUUGCAAGUUGUGAAACUUAUUUCUGCGAAAAUAUAUGAAAUUACUUCUCUGGAAUAUAUGAAACUGUUGUUUCUCUUAUUUGGCAUUUGUUAUUUAAGUGAGAUGUGUAUUGGGAAAUAUGAAAUUACUUCCCUGAAAUAUAUUUCAAUGUGUUGUUGCAAGUUGUGAAACUAAUUUCUGUGAAAAUAUAUGAAAUUUGUUUUCUGAAAUAUAUGAAACUGCUAUUUGUCACAUAUGUAACUUGUUAUUUCAGUGAUAUAUGUAUUGAGAAAUUACUUCCCUGGAAUAUAUUUCAAUGCGGUGUUGCAAGUUGUGAAACUAAUUUCUGGGAAAAUAUAUGAAAUUACUUCUCUGAAUUAUAUGAAACUGUUGUUUCUCUUAUCUGGCAUUUGUUAUUUAAGUGAGAUGUGUAUUGGGAAAUAUGAAAUUACUUCCCUGGAAUAUAUUUCAAUGUGUUGUUACAAGUUGUGAAACUAAUUUCUGUGAAAAUAAAUGAAAUUACUUUUCUGAAAUAUAUGAAACUGCUAUUUGUCACAUAUGUAACUUGUUAUAUCAGUGAGAUAUGUAUUGAAAUAUGUGAAAUUACUUUCCUGAAAAAUAUGUAAUUCCUUUCCAGAAAUAUAUUUCAAUGUGGUAUUACGAGUUGUUAAACUAAUUUAAGUGUAAUGGUUUGUGCAAGAUAUGUGAAAUUUAUAUUUCAAUGUGGUGAAACCAGAUCAUUUUAGUUGGUGGAAGUGUUAUAUAUUUAUGAAAAUGAUUG